UAUUGAAACCAAGAGACUUUCACAGAAAAUAAAGAGACAUGUUUAAUGUUCAGCUGAGUUUCAGCAUGUUUUAAGUUUAAAUACCUGAAAUUCACCAACAUUUUACACAUCGUUACCCACAGUGAUUCUCUGAUUAAAGAUAUAUCAGUUUUAAAACACCAGCUGUUGAUACAGUUUGAAAAUAUUUUUUUAUACAAAUAGGUCAAUAAAUUCAAAAGGAACAUUUAAAGAGAACUUGUAGAAAUAUUUUUUCAUUUUCAAUAAACCAUUUGGAGUUAUUUACUCUUUUAAAUUGGUAACCAUAACCUGAUUAAAGAAACACCAUUUUCAGUAAAAGCCACAUUCCAGAGACGAUGUUUGCAUAAGAAGUGAGAAUUUAAUUAAUCAGUUAUUCAACAAAAAAA